UGUCCAGCAACUCCUAUCCCUACCUCCUCAUGGUACCGGCCGGAAAUUAUGAGCAACCUUAGGGAAGAUCGGGUAACUAACCCCGGUGGGAACUUUAGGCUGACAGGGAAAG
rfam:Aedes albopictus isolate Foshan contig1669, whole genome shotgun sequence.